GUGGAUUAGAUACCCUGGUAGUCCUGGCAGUAAACGGUGCACGUUUGGUGUGGGCGGGUUCAGACCCCGUCCGUGCCGGAGCUAACGCGUUAAACGUGCCGCCUGGGAAGUACGGUCGCAAGAUUAAAACUCAAAGAAAUUGACGGGGGCCCGCACAAGCGGUGGAGUAUGUGGCUUAAUUCGAUGCAACGCGAAGAACCUUACCUGGCCUUGACAUGCAUCUCUAAGUUAAUGAAAGUUAGCGACUUGGUAGCAAUAUCAAGAAUUUGCACAGGUGCUGCAUGGCUGUCGUCAGCU
rnacentral:rRNA from 1 species